GAGAGCGUUGAAGCCCUUCCAAGAGCCCUGCAAGCCUCUGCCUCAGGUGGUGAACUUUCCCAGCAGCUGGACAUGGAGCCUGGAACAGGCAUGCAGCUCGAGGCCCUAAACCAGGCUUUGCAAGAAGAGCUGUCCACUCUGCUUGGGAAGUGUGAAACACUGGAGAAGAGCAAAUGUCAGCUGCAAGAAGAGGUGACAAAACUCCACCACCAUUUGGAGACUUUGGUGCUGGAUGGCAGCCAAAGAGAACAGUGUACAGGAGAGGUGGCAGAAGGAGCUGACCAGGAAAGAAGUGCAAAGCUACAAGAGGUCAGCCUCGUUUUGCAGGCACAGGCAGCCCACCAGGCCCCACCAGGACGAACCAGAGACAUUCAUUGUGAAUCCAUGAGAAUCCAGUUGGAAGAAAGGAUUAGAAAUCUGGAAAGGGAAUUGGAGAGGGUCAAAAACACCCAACAAGAGAGUGCUUCUCAUAAAGAAGCAACGCAGGGAGAGAUGGAAAGGUACAAAGAGCUGUAUGUGGAGGAAGUGAAAACCAGAAGAUGCCUUGCCAAGAAACUGGAAAGGUAAGUCCAUGCUUGUUUGGAGUGGUAAUGAGAGACUCCUUUUUCUUCCUGCAUUUUCCUUGGAAAUCCAUCUUCUCCAUCUGGCCAGCAUUAUUGCCCUCCAUUGGCCACCAGGGUCUGAUGGAGUUGCCAAGACACUCUCCUUGAUAUUUGAAAAGUCGUGGCAGUCAGGGGAAGUCCCAGGUGAGGGGAAAAAGGGAACCCCACUGUGCCCAUCUUUGAAAGGGGUAGAAAGGAGGGCCCUGGGAACUGCCAACCUGUCAGCCUGCCCUCUGUGCCUGGGGAGGUGAUGGAAAAGAUCCUUCUAGAAGCUCUGUCAAGGCACGUGGAUGACAGGGAGGUGAUUGGAAGCACCAGCACAGCUUCGCCAAGGGCAAGUGCUGCUUGACCGACCUGGUGGCCUUCUAAGAUGGAGUGACUGCCUCAG